AACGAACGCUGGCGGCAUGCCUAGCACAUGCAAGUCGAACGAGACCUUCGGGUCUAGUGGCGCACAGGUGCGUAACGCGUGGGAACCUGCCCUUAGGUUCGGAAUAACUCCCCGAAAGGGGUGCUAAUACCGGAUAAUGUCUUCGGACCAAAGAUUUAUCGCCUUUGGAUGGGCCCGCGUUGGAUUAGCUAGUUGGUAGGGUAAAAGCCUACCAAGGCGACGAUCCAUAGCUGGUCUGAGAGGAUGAUCAGCCACACUGGGACUGAGACACGGCCCAGACUCCUACGGGAGGCAGCAGUGGGGAAUAUUGGACAAUGGGCGAAAGCCUGAUCCAGCAAUGCCGCGUGAGUGAUGAAGGCCUUAGGGUUGUAAAGCUCUUUUACCCGGGAUGAUAAUGACAGUACCGGGAGAAUAAGCUCCGGCUAACUCCGUG
rnacentral:rRNA from 1 species